GCUUGCUUUCUUUGCUGGCGACCGGCGCACGGGUGAGUAACACGUAUCCAACCUACCCUUUACUCGGGGAUAGCCUUUCGAAAGAAAGAUUAAUACCCGAUAGCAUAAUGAUUCCGCAUGGUUUCAUUAUUAAAGGAUUCCGGUAAAGGAUGGGGAUGCGUUCCAUUAGGUUGUUGGUGGGGUAACGGCCCACCAAGCCUUCGAUGGAUAGGGGUUCUGAGAGGAAGGUCCCCCACAUUGGAACUGAGACACGGUUCAAACUCCUACGGGAGGCAGCAUG
rnacentral:rRNA from 1 species